UGAGGUACAGCGCAACGGUAGCGCGUCUGACUCCAGAUAAGAAGGUUGCGUGUUCGAAUCACGUCCGGCUCAC